ACCUGCCCAAGAGACUGGGAUAACACCUGGAAACAGAUGCUAAUACCGGAUAACAACACUAGACGCAUGUCUAGAGUUUGAAAGAUGGUUCUGCUAUCACUCUUGGAUGGACCUGCGGUGCAUUAGCUAGUUGGUAAGGUAACGGCUUACCAAGGCAAUGAUGCAUAGCCGAGUUGAGAGACUGAUCGGCCACAUUGGGACUGAGACACGGCCCAAACUCCUACGGGAGGCAGCAGUAGGGAAUCUUCCACAAUGGACGAAAGUCUGAUGGAGCAACGCCGCGUGAGUGAAGAAGGGUUUCGGCUCGUAAAGCUCUGUUGGUAGUGAAGAAAGAUAGAGGUAGUAACUGGCCUUUAUUUGACGGUAAUUACUUAGAAAGUCACGGCUAACUACGUGCCAGCAGCCGCGGUAAUACGUAGGUGGCAAGCGUUGUCCGGAUUUAUUGGGCGUAAAGCGAGUGCAGGCGGUUCAAUAAGUCUGAUGUGAAAGCCUUCGGCUCAACCGGAGAAUUGCAUCAGAAACUGUUGAACUUGAGUGCAGAAGAGGAGAGUGGAACUCCAUGUGUAGCGGUGGAAUGCGUAGAUAUAUGGAAGAACACCAGUGGCGAAGGCGGCUCUCUGGUCUGCAACUGACGC
rnacentral:rRNA from 1 species